rnacentral:rRNA from 1 species
UAGGGGGCGAGCGUUGUCCGGAUUUAUUGGGCGUAAAGAGCGUGUAGGCGGCCAGGUAGGUCUGCUGUGAAAACUCGAGGCUCAACCUCGAGACGUCGGCGGAAACCAUCUGGCUAGAGUCCGGAAGAGGAGAGUGGAAUUCCUGGUGUAGCGGUGAAAUGCGCAGAUAUCAGGAAGAACACCCGUGGCGAAGGCGGCUCUCUGGGACGGUACUGACGCUGAGACGCGAAAGCGUGGGGAGCGAACAGG